rnacentral:rRNA from 1 species
UACGUAGGGUGCAAGCGUUUGUCCGGAAUUAUUGGGCGUAAAGAGCUCGUAGGCGGUCUGUCGCGUCUGGUGUGAAAACUCAGGGCUUAACCCUGAGCUUGCAUCGGGUACGGGCAGACUAGAGUGCGGUAGGGGAGACUGGAAUUCCUGGUGUAGCGGUGAAAUGCGCCAGAUAUCAGGAGGAACACCGGUGGCGAAGGCGGGUCUCUGGGCCGUAACUGGACGCUGGAGGAGCGAAAGCAUGGGGAGCGAACAGG